UACGAACGACUGCGGACACAAUCCUCCAUGUAGAAAAGCAAGAAUGGCAUCUUUGAAUAGACCAAAUCGCUGACUUCUAUGAAUGACUGCGCCCACAGUUUUCCAUGUAGAAAAGCAAGAAUGGCAUCUUUGAAUAGCUGAAGAAGUGCACCUUUCGGAAAUAUAUGCAGUUACUGUGUGCAGGGAGCUCUGAGCUCUGGGGGUUGUGCAUGCCAUGUCGAGCACCUUACAUCAUGCCUGCUGAGUGUGGUAGGGAGAAAGGAGAACAGGAAAAGAAUGGUUGGUUGAGUAAUAAGACAAGCACAGAUUGAGGGCAGUGACCACAAAACCAUAGGCUUGUGGAUGGUACUGUGUGUGUCCUCUGCAGAUGUCUCUGGUUUUCUGCUCAUCUUUGGGACAGGCAGGAAGGAAGCAGCUGCACUGACCCUAAACCCUUUCUCCAGGAAGACUGCUAGACCCUGCUUGUGACAUUGAUAUUUUAUAAUAUCUACAUUUGUGUUGUACAGUAACAUAAAAAUCUUAAAACAUGAAAUACUCUUCUACUGGCUUUUCUGUAAAAGCACUGAAUCUGGCAUGGGGAAUAAGCUCCAUGCUGUAGAAUACAACGCCCUGGAUCCUGCUACAUCUGAAUGAAGGAAAUGUUAAGUCAGUGGAAGAUGGAGUCAUUAUUGCCUUAUUUUUUCUUUAUUCUAAUAAUAAUGCAACCUAAUUGCAAUAACAGUGCCAAGAUUCAAGCCUGAAAGCUUAGGGCAAUGCAGGGCUGUAUUUUUGUCGAGGCACUGGACCUCAGUGUGUCCUAUUGACGCAUGCGCAUCAUGAAAUUGACAUAAUGUGAAUGCACAGAAAUUACAUAAUGCACGUAAGCGGAAGUAGAUUUUUUUUUUUGUGAAAAUGUUUAUUUAUCAUUUAGGCUAAGGGAUGCCUCCCUAAAGUUGAUGCUCUAGGCACAGGUUCUUGAGUAUCUAUAUGGUAAAUACUCCCCUGGGGUAAUGGCACACCGGGGGAUUUGUUGUCCGUGGAUAAAGCUGCACUACCAUGAGCGUUAAAUUUCCCAAAAAUGCUUUCCCACUGACAAUAAUGUAAAUGGCCCUUUAGAAGUCACUUUGGCUUUCUGAAGUCCCCAGACGUUACUUUGCAAGGAAUAUUUACUUGUUUUUGGAAAACAAAGAAACGUAAGUUUUCCCACUGGGUACCACAGACAACAAAUUUCCUGUGCCAUUGCUCUUACAUUCCAAGCGUGUGCUAUACAAUACCUAUAUGCUGAUACCCCACGUCACCUGCAAAUGUAUAUGAGCAGGAAACCAGUUAUAUGCAUAGAGUAACAUAGUACCCCAUAAGUACUAUGUUACCAUAACAACAACAACUUGCCCUACUGCAGCAACCCAUAAGAUGUUUGCAUUUAUACAAGGAACUAGCAAGUACUACUUGCUGACUGUUGCUAUAGGUGAUUAGAUCACGUUUUACAUAACCAUAAAUGACUUGUCACAAGAAAGUGAGGUAGAAAAUUUCUUCUUUUCUGCUUUUUAAAACAUUAACUUUAUUAUGUGCUACGUUCCAACGGGAACUUGAACUGGAAAUGUCAACCACUGUAUUAAAGUAAUAGAUGUUUUAACACA